rnacentral:rRNA from 1 species
UACACUCCUGCGGAAGGCAGCAGUGGGGAAUAUUGGACAAUGGGCGCAAGCCUGAUCCAGCCAUGCCGCGUGAGUGAUGAAGGCCCUAGGGUUGUAAAGCUCUUUCACCGGUGAAGAUAAUGACGGUAACCGGAGAAGAAGCCCCGGCUAACUUCGUGCCAGCAGCCGCGGUAAUACGAAGGGGGCUAGCGUUGUUCGGAUUUACUGGGCGUAAAGCGCACGUAGGCGGACUAUUAAGUCAGGGGUGAAAUCCCGGGGCUCAACCCCGGAACUGCCUUUGAUACUGGUAGUCUUGAGUUCGAGAGAGGUGAGUGGAAUUCCGAGUGUAGAGGUGAAAUUCGUAGAUAUUCGGAGGAACACCAGUGGCGAAGGCGGCUCACUGGCUCGAUACUGACGCUGAGGUGCGAAAGCGUGGGGAGCAAACAGGAUUAGAAACCCGGGUAGUCCC